rnacentral:tRNA from 1 species
AUUUUUGGAGUUGAAAUACAAUGGUUUUUCAUGCCAUAGGUUAUGGUUAAAAUCCAUGCUAAAAUA